CCCCUUCCUCUAGCGCCAAUUCUUUUGGUGCAGAAUUUUGCCGAUGCCGGAUGAAGCCGGGGUCGAGGGGAUCACGACCGCCGUCGGGACUUGCAAGGGAAGUCUAAACCAGAGUUGGGGGAGCUCCGGCAAGACCCUCCGACGCUCAAGUCAGUACUCUGCUUCAACAGAAAUGGAGCACUCGAAUGGGAUUUUAGCAGAGUUUAGAGAUAGUGCUUAGAGCUUAGAGGAGAACAUAUUUGGAGGGUCUCUUUUAUAGACGGG
rnacentral:lncRNA from 1 species